AUUGUUAAACACUGCAGUCAGCAAUAUUUAACCUAUAUCAUGGCGAUCUGUAAAUAACUGAGUCAUCAAUAAGACGGAUCACCUGAGCCAUGUCAAGGUACAACUAAGACACACAAUAAGCCAAGUCCCAGAGCCAGACAACCCGUUCCCUAUGUCUGAGUCGGCCAUAACCACAGGCAUGAGACACUGGGGACCCUACCCUGGCCCAGAAUCCCCACCAGGGUUAAACCCAAGCAGAUGACCUGGUGAUGUGAUUGACAGGUGUCUGACAGUAGGACAUUAACAAUGCCCCUGGGUUGUCAAUAUCAUCUUUAGUGUGUUAAAGCAUCUACCAACAAGGAACAAAGCAACAGAAACACAUCUCAAGGAAAUCGUCUUGACAUACUGGCUUUGUGAAAACAGUGAUGAAGCCGAAAAUAAAAAGUUACCUGAGGUUGGGCCAAGUUUGGUUUGUGUGGCUAUAUGAUGUCAGUCUGAAGAUUAUCAAGUCUAGACCCGACAAUCAAGUGACUGUCAUCACGAGCAUUGAUCCACGCAUUUGGGAUACGCUGACGGGCAAGCAUGGGUUGCUGAAGACCUAUUCUACCCCGGAUCUUCACGGGUGCAUAAUACAUGCAGACUGCAGACAUGAUACACUAGUGCAACAUGAUAAAUGAGGAUGGUUUCUUACACAGGUUAUAUAUCAAAAUGUUUACCUCUGUUUAACAUAUUUACCUAACAUUAUUAAUAGGCCAAAUAUUUCAACUCUACAAAAUUACUAAAUGUGAUGGUUCUCGAGUACCUGAUAUCAGCUUAACAUUCCUUUCUGUCUACAUUCCAGAACAAUUAUAGCUUGUAUGUAUGGAUCUAUACCAGUAAAUCAGUUUAAGUGAUUUCUUUCUGAAUCAGCAGAAACAGACAGCAUGUGACAGUGACUAUGCCUCAGAUGCUCGGCCAUCUCUCUCAUGUUUCUGACUAAUGAUUACCAGUAGAGUGUGAACAUGUCACAGCCUUGAAUGAAAGGCGUAUCUGUGAUCCUCCUUUUCUUUGAGAAAAUGUCAGAAUUGUAGUGUUACCAUUCCAUUAACCAUGGUCAAAUUGUUAAAAAUGUUAUCAUUUUACUGUUUGUUUAAACAUUUUUCUUUAUCAUUAUUUACAAGCCUGCACAAAAUUAGCUAGACUAACAUCUAGUCCCUGAAACUUUUACACAAAAAACAGCGGUUAAAUUAUCUAAUAAAAUAUGAAAAAAGGAGCCUAGCAACUUACAACACUGUCCUGAUACUACAGCACUCUACACUUACAAACUAUUAUACACUUCCACGGGCUGUAUUGGAUAUUUGUUUCAGGGUCUGCAUGACAGACUAAAAAUUAGCCUUAUAAACUUCGAAAUGUGUGUAUUUUAGCAGCUAUUUGACUUCCCGGUAAAUAAACUGAGAACUGGUGUUACAUAUGAUGGUUAUUUGUGUGACUAUCUUGUGAUGUGUAUCUAAACUCUGUAACAGCACUGAUCAAUAUUUACAUAACUAGGCAAUAAUGAGAUACUGAUGAGUUGUUUUCUUGUUUGUUUCAACAAGGAGUAUCCAGGUGUGCAUACAUUGUGUCACGUGAAGCUAAAACUGUCAAUCUAGUUAUACUUUCCGAGGUAAUGUCAAUGAUGCUGUCAAUUGAAAUAAUUAUAUCAGUGAUUGUCCUUGAGGUUGUUUUCUCUAAAUUACUGAAUCUGAAUAUUACAGUAAGACUAUUUAAAUAGCAGAUGUCUAUAUAUAGUAUAUGUAAA